rnacentral:rRNA from 1 species
UACGUAGGGUUCAAGCGUUAUCCGGAAUCACUGGGCGUAAAGCGUGCGUAGGCGGCAUGUUAAGUGCAAUGCGAAAUCCUGUGGCUCAACCAUAUGGACUGUAUUGCAUACUGGCAUGCUUGAGGAUAUGAGAGGCAAGUGGAAUUACUGGUGUAGCAGUGAAAUGCGUAGAGAUCAGUAGGAACACCAAUGGCGAAGGCAGCUUGCUGGCAUAUUUCUGACGCUAAGGCACGAAAGCGUGGGGAGCGAACAGG